AAUCGUAGGAGUGCAGUUUUCAAUUACCCCGCAUUGGCUUGGGCUUUAAAAGCUGAUCCAAACAUCCAAAGCUACAAAAGGGGAGGAAAAUCACAGCUGGCACAGGCAGGUGCGGGUCCCCGGAGCCACAGGGGCACCAGCUGUGCCCCUGCUCCACAGCAGCAGGACCCAUCCCCUGCACCAACGUGUUUUUGCAGCAACUUCUGUUCCUUUCCAGGUGCGAGGAAACACCACGAUCCAGGUUUCCCACACAAACCACCCCGGCGCCCAUCGCUCUUACAGCUGUUACUGGUGACACCAUUUCCAAAAGCCACCAGAGACAGGACUGACAGUGUGUGGCCCCUCCACAAAGUCAUGGCUGCCAUCAGCUGGAGAACCUGUAACUCGGGCAGCAGGAAGACCCCCUCCACCUCAGGAAGACCCCCUCCACCUGGCAACCACCGCCGGGACGCCCAGCUGCAAGCAGCGAGGUGAUGUCUCAGCUGUUCAGAGGCCAUGCUGCACCAGCACGGCCACAGUUAUGCACAGAGCCCAGGUGGUGUUCUUGGGUUAACUUCUGUGCCCAAAACAGAAAAUGAAUAUACACAGAAAUUCUUAUGUAUAUAUUAUUCCUAAGCAUUAAAAGAGGAUUCUAUUUCAUUCACACAUCAGGACAGUUGAUUCAGUUUUUCAACCAUUUUGGUAUUCCCUUUCCCUGCCACCUCCCCUAGACUUUUCUGGUGUGGACAACAAUAGCAACUCAGAACUUCAGGAUACUUUAGCUAUAAUUUUAUUGUAUUCAGUAUUUUGAAUCUAUACCUUCUCAAUGGUUUCCUUAACAGAUUUAUUUUUUUCCUGAGAAGUAAAACUCCUAACAUGGUUACAUAUUUAUCCUUGCUGGAAUUAUUUGCUAUAAUAAAUUGCCUACUAUAAGAGUUCA
rnacentral:lncRNA from 1 species